UUACCCAUAAGAAAUGUACAUUAAAUAUAAAAGUGCAAGUAAUUUUAGUGGCUUUGCUUAUGGGAUAGAUAAAAUGGCCACAAUCUGAAGAAAGAGGGUCCUUUAGUGUCUUCCUCCCAUAUGAAAUGGCUGAACAGAAUUUU
ensembl:snoRNA small nucleolar RNA SNORA29